UACUCACACUCACAGGACCAAGCCUGCCGCUGCCCUACAUACAGUGGCACAGCCCUGCCUCCUUCCAGGGAGUCUGCUAUGGAAGGGGCUCUGCCCCCGCGCCUCAGCCGUCCAGGAGCGCCAACCAGACACCACUACCCAGGAGGUUCCUCCUUUCAGCUGACAUCACUCUCACAGAGAGGCGCAUGCUGAGAAAAGGGACAGCGGGGACGACCCUCGGGGAUACCUGAGGGUCACAGCUUGACUGGUGGAGUGGUCGCCUGAUUCCGACCAGAGACUAACCCGAAAGGACAUAGGAACUGGCCUUCUCCGCACCUCAAAAAUAAAACCCCACAUCAUUUAAAUAUAGAAACGUUCUCAACGGUAACACUGCGAACAAAACCACUCACCGGCAAAAAGACCACCAGCACCAACUGCGGUUCCUCCGGGCCGCGAAGCCGGUAGCGCCUCCUAGAAUUCAUCUUUACGACCGGCAUCGACGCUCUUUUCUAGCCCUGGAGCCAGACGGGGCAGGUCCUAUGUCUCUGCCUAUUGGAAAGGCAAGCUGUCGCUCAUCCUUGGCUCCGCCCUACCCCCCGGGAAUGACCACGGUCUUUUCCGUUCCCCAAAUCCCAAGGGUAAGAAGCGAGGCGAUGAUUGGCUGUAUGAGGAGACGAGCUCUCGUCUGGGCCAAUAAGAAUAUGGUUUCAGAGCCGGUGGGCGGGCUUGGGCCUAGGGAAAUGGAGAAACAAACCCUGGGCGUCGCCAAGGCAAUAGGAAAACCCCGGAGCUUGCGGAGACCCAACGGUUUGAGAUUCUAGAAAGUGUUUGGCGUCAUUGGGAAACACCUGCCGAGGGAGAGAGGCGUUGGAGGAAUCUUGGAAUACAUGAGAUGAAACAAGACAGGCCUUCAAGAAUGCAGAAUCGGGGAGGUCCUCCUCCAGACAGACUGCUCAGCACAGACCUGCUGCUAGCUAAAGCUUCAGGACCACAGGACCAGGCUGAUUAAACCAGAACGUUAUGACUUCCUGGAGAACAAAAUAUUUGUAAACACUUUUAUGGAAAUGGGCCAAUGGGCUCAAAAUAGCCUCAGACUAUCCGGAUAUGUGGUUUCUGGAAGAGGAGCCAUAUUCUUCUAGAGGGUCUAAAGGAAAUGUCCCAAAGUUGAGAAACUUUGGUGGUCCCUGUCUCUUUCCCUGUCCCCAAGAAACGCUUCCUUGUCUUUUCCCCAACCAUUCACUUUUACUUUACUGAAAUAUGAGUUCACUACCUUUGUCAAUUUCCUGUGGCUACCAUAACAAGUUACCACAAAGCUGGUGGCUUACAACAACAAAUAAUUUUUCUCUUAUAGUUCCAUAUGACAGAAGUCUAAAACCAAGGUGUCAGCAGGGUUGGUUUCCUCUGGAGAGUUUGAGAGAGGCUCUGUCUCAUGCCUCUCUCCUAGCUUCUGGUGGUUGCCAAUAAUUUUUGGCACUUGCAGGUAUAGUACUCCAGUCUCUGCCUCCAUCUUCACAUCAUCCUUCAUUUCUGUGUCUCCAUGUGUAUCUAAUCUCCCUCUAUCCUACUUACAUCUCCAAAGAUCUUGCUUCCAAAUAAUAAUAAUAGCCAGGCAUGGUGGAGCACACUUGUAAUCCCAGUGAUCUAAAGGCUGAGGCAGAAUAAUCCCAAGUUCAAGGCCAGCCUUAGCAAUUAUCAAGACCCUCGGCAAUUUACCAAGAUCCUGCCUCAAAAUAAAAUUUUUAAAAAAGGACUGGCAAUGUAGCUCAGUGGUAAAGCACCCCUGGCUUCAGCCCCAGUACCACAAAACAAAUAAGUUGAUAGUAACAGGUUCUGGGACUUAGGAGUUGGAAAGGUUUUCUGGGAAGACACGAUCAACCCACUGUGUACCACUCCUGCACACAUCCUAUAGCUUACAUUCAAUGCCUGUACCCAAGCAGCUGAACAUAGCUAGAGAAAGACCCAAACGUGCAACUGCUCUUACUUUAAAUUUAUGGCCACUAACCUCCAAUGAGCCUUUGGUGCUUCUUGAUCUUUCUCCAGUUCCCUCUUCAAUUUUCAAUUUCUGGAUGAUUAGUUCAUACCUUCUCCUCUCUCCUCAGUUCUCUAACAGCUUUUCCUCCUCAGUCACCAAGUAUCAGCUGACUUCUUUGGUUCUGUCCAACUUGGAACCUCUUAGAAGAGUGCUGCUGAACAUUUCACCACCUGUCUGUAUUCUGUGACCAAACCCUCUUCCUCCUCUGUUACUGUUGACGAACAGUCUUGUGUUCCUAAGGAAGUUGCCUUCUAUUGUAGCAAGAUCUCAUUCCCUUUGCUCUUUCCCCUUCAUCAUGGUUUUUGUUUGUUUGUUUCUUGUUUUGCUUUGUUUUUGGUACUGGGGAUUGAACUCAGGGGAACUUGACCACUGAGCCACAACCCAGCCCAUUUUUAUAUUUUAUUUUAUUUUUAUUUUAAAUAUUUAUUUAUUUUGGUACUAGGGACUGAACUCAGGGGCACUCGGCCACUGAGCCUCAACCCCAGUCUUAUUUUUUGUUUUAUUUAGAGACAGGGUCUCACUGAGUUGCCUAGUGCCUUUCACUGAGGCUGGCUUUGAACUUUCCAUCCUCCUGCCUCAGCCUCCUGAAUCAGUGGAAGUAUAAGUGUACGCCAUUAUGCACAGCUCAUCAUGGUUUUCCCUCUCUUAACUGGAUGGAUCCCAUCAACAUAAAACCAUGCUGCAACAUAUCUUAUCUUAAACAAGCACAUAUGUAAAGCCUCUCAUUUAGCCCCUAUGCCCCCUCCAACUGCCUUUCUGCUGCUCUACAAAACUAUUUAAAAGAGUUGUCUAUAUAGGUUGUCUCCAUUUUUUCUUCUCUAUUAAAUUUAUUCCCUAUUCUGAACCUCGCCUCCAAAAAUCCUCCUGUCAAGGUCACUAGUAGCCUUCAAGUUGCAAAAUCCAUUGGUCAAUCCUCAGUCUUCACCUUACUUGACCACUCUGCAGCAUUUGACAUGGUUGAUCUCCCUGCUUGGAGCACUUUCUUACCUUAGAUUCCAGGACUCCACUCUCUCUUUAUCACUGGCCUCUUUUCAGUCCCCUUUGCUGGUUUCUUCUAUCUCUUUGACCUCUAAGUAUUGGACUACUCUAGAGCUUUGGUGACAGACACCUUCGCUCUCUGAUUUCACUCAUUCUUAGGGUGAUAUCAGAUAGUCUCAUGCUUGGGUUCCUCACCCAUGUCCCCUCAAGACUUGGCUCUACAUUCACAGGCUGUCUACUGGGAACACUUUUAUUCUCUGCCUGGGGACCUUUUAUUACCCAGGAAGCCCUGGACUCUUGCAAAGAAGCUGAAAGGGCUAGAGAGUUAAUGCCUUCAGAGAAACCUUCAGCCAAAGAUGAAUGCAGUCUGGUGGGUAAUUAUCCUGGCUUUCUGGUCCCUUAGUUAGGAUAACUUUGAGGCCUGUUCUAUAUUCUCUCUUAGAAUCCCACAAUUGGGGGGAAAAAAAGAAGAGGAAGAAGAAGAUGAAUCCCACAAUGAAGCUGUUGUGGGAUUAUAGCCACUGUAAGGUAAUCUGCAGGGGUAACUUACUUCCAAUGUACCAAUUACUGACUUCCUUCUUUUUCUGUCUCACUUCUCUAAUUUUCCACCGGUAUUUCUUAGACUCUUCCCCCAGAUAAACUGCUGACACUCCAAGUUUUGUCAGGAUCUAGUUCCAGGGGAACUCAAACUAAGACAAAUACUAUUUAUAUGCUAAUGAUUCUCAUGUUUUUAUCCAGCCCCAAAGUCUCCCAAAUUACAGAAUUUUAUAUUGCUUAUUAAGGUGCCAGAAAUGCUUCUAAAUGCUUUACAAUUAAGUUACUUAUCUAGGCAUGGUAAUAUAUGCCUAUAAUCCCAGCAAAUCUGAGGCAGAAGGAUCACAAGUUUGAGGCCAGCCUGGGCAAAAUAGGUCAGCCUGUUUCAAAAUAAAAAUACAAAGAGCUGGGGAUAUAGUUCAGUAGUAGAGAAACCCUGGGUUCAAUCCCUAGUAGCACAAAAUAAAGAAAGAAAUAUUGGGUUAUUCAGUCCUAUAAUGUGAGUUUCAUUAUCAUCCACAUUUUACUGAUAUAAAACCUGAGAUACAGAUUUUGUUGAAGCAAGUUGCCCAUGUUGAUACAGCCAGUAUGUGGAAGAGCCAGGAUUCAAGUCUAGGACUUGUAUUUUGAAACACAGUGCUAUGCUGUCUCUAUGAAAAGGGAUACAUUUGAGAAAUCAUUUGGGGGUGGGAAAAAGAGGGAUGGAGAGGGACAGUGCAUCUCAGUUAUUGAUAAAUAUAGUAUCUUCAAAGAGCCAUCCUACAGUAGACUUAUUUUCAUUUUGGUGGACAUCUAGACUGGAAGAUAAGAGUAAAUGCAGCAUAAAUUGUGUGUGUAGACUUAGAUAAGGCAGUUGGCAAGAUCCCUCAUUAGAAAAUAUCUAAUAAUGUGAACUGGAUUCUAGAUCAAUUAAGUAAAUUCAUACCCAGUUGAAGAGCUGUAUCCAAAGAGUGCUGAUUAAUGAAUUUCUUUCAACCUGUUAAGAGGCUUCUUGUGGUAAAUCAAAGGGCUUUGGGCUGCCCCCUGUCCUAUUUAAACAUUUUAGCAAUGUCUCCAAUAAAGGACAUCAUUGGGAAACCUGUCUAAUCUGAGGAAGAUACGUGGAAUGAAACAGCAUUGUUAAUGUGCUACAGACUAAAACGGAGGAAAUGAAUCUUACAGAUGGAAUUUGCUGGCUCGUCCUGCCGAGGACGUCUGUGGUCAUUCCUGGUACACUGCUGGAGUAUCUCCUUGGAAGUUUGGAAGAAAUUAGGCCUACAGCCUUUGGACCUAGGCCCCGGAGUAGAGGGGAGCUCCUGAGAGACAUUCCUCAGCCUCGCUCCGCGGGUGAUUCCAAUCCGUCCUAGGACGCUGAGAAGCCUUCUGCUGGCCUGUCAGAUCUGAUGAGUCAACUCCUCUGGGGACAAGGUCAGAUUGGACGCAGUUGUGUACACCGAGUACUAAGACAGGACACGACAUUGUCACUGUCUCCCUGGAGGCCUCCCUGUGGGGCCUCAUCUGUUCCUGGGGGCAAGAGGAGACGUGGUCUCUGCCCCACUAGAGGUUUCCCUGUGUGACCUCACCGAUUGUUUUUCCUGUGUCUGACUUGUUUGCUGUUUGUCAUUUCUUCAGUGUCUGUCUAUCUUGCCGGCUGUGUCCUGUGUCUAUCUUGUUUGUCUAGCAGUGUGUUGUGCGGGAGCCUUUCUUAUUUUCAUAACCACUCUUCUUUCAUCAGGACUCCUUCACUCCCCCGACAUUAUGGGACAAGGAAGUUCUACAGAGAACUGGCCUCCCUAGGUCACAUCUGACUCUGGUUUAUGUCUUUGUCAGUGUCUUUGUCUGUUGGUUUGUUUUUGUUUGUCCCCUUUGUGUUCUGUGUUAAUUUCUACCUUAGUUUGUUUCUAAUGUUAAUGGUUACAAAGGUUUUAACUGUGCUCACUAAAGCUUGCAUUAAAAUGUAAAGUGCUGUCAACAGACUAAAAGAAUUGUCAAAAGUAAAAGCUAAAGGUAAAAAAGGCAUUCCAGAGAUUGCCUUCAUUUAGGAACUGGGCCAGAUGGUCAACAGGGUACAUCAUGUCAGUUCCUAUAGAGGACAGAUUAAAACUGAAGUGUUUUAUACAAUUAUUAUUCCUGAAUUGUAAAACAAAGCAUAAUUUUGUCUAGGAAAUUUGGCUUUUGUUUCUCAGUAUUUGCAAGCAUGUAUUAACUCCCAACUAUUAAAAAUGAUCUAUUUUUCAAUGUCAGGCUAAAAUUUGGUGGCCACUAUCCAAGAAACCAGAAAAAACAGUUUGAAAUGGGACCCCCAACCUGGGGGACUCUCCCAAGGAGACCAAUGGAGCUGUGUCUUUGGGAAAUUCUUUCUGGGAAAAAUAAGGCCCCUUCAUUUGUCUAUGUUCCCUUAACACUUUCCAGCUUUGAUGAACAGGACAACCUCAGGAAAAAGGUCAGAAAGGCUUUUAAAAUUCCAUAUUUGUUAAAUUCAUGAUUUUGAUCUGACAUUUUUAGGUUAAUAUGUUUUUCUGAUUACACUCUGCUUUAUUCUAAGGCCAAUUUAACAAGGGUUAACUCUCAAUCUAAUAUGUUUUUUUAAAAAAUAAACUACAAGGCUUUUGUUUGUCUGUUUGCUUUGUGUGGAUACACCGGUGUACUGUCCAUCUAUAUGUAUUGCCAUGUCUAUAUAUAUUUGGUACCAAAAAUUGACAUAUGAGCUCAUAAAAAAAUGGAUUCAAAUACUUUUGUUUAAUGUGAUUUAAAAGGUUCAAUUUAAAUUAGGAAAAUAAAUAAAAGUAAAAAUGUCUUUAAAGUUACUAAUGCACAAUUUUGUUUCUAGGUGGUUAAAUAGUUCUUAAAAUGUUAAUGUCUAUAAAAUGUCUGAUAUCCAUUGUCUCUAAAUUACUAAUGCUAUUCAAUGCACUUGUCUGAUACUUUGUUUUUAAAAAAGAUAUGUAAAUUACAUCUGAACAUUUGUGAAAUUAAUCAUGGAUGUGUUUGUUAGAGAUAUCUGAUUGGUUUACAAAGUUAAAAUGCUGUUUAAUAUUAUAUCAAAUACUCUUAACUCCUUAAAUUUCAUAAGGUAAAAUGCUUAAAUAUUGUUGGCAUUUUCAUAUAUUGGUAAAUUAAAAAAUUUAAAAUUACUUUAUAUUAUCACAAGAACAAGGUUACUAUAAAUUAAAAGUCCCAACAGGUACAAUUCUACAUAAGGAGUCAAGAGGUUUCAACUGCAUUUCAAUUAAAGUACUGUAAAUAACAAAAUAUUUUAUCUUAUUAAAAUUGAUUAAUUUAUCUAAAUUCAGAAAUUUAUAAGAGUUGUUUUAAAGUACAAACUGAAAGAAGGUUCAAUGGAUUAAAAAUUAUUAAAAGGUUCUAAAUAUAAAAAUAUAUUUAGUAAAAAAAUGUUUCCAGGUUAAAAAGUCUUUAUGUGGUAAAUUAUAAUUAUAAUACAUCUAAGUAAAUAAUCAAAGGGUUCUAAUUAAGUAAUAUAAAGGUCUAUAAAUAAAAGAUAAAUAUUAAAAGGUUUAUAUGUAACUAAGUUGGUUAUGUAUGUAACCCAAAUAGUUAAAACUAUUCAAGGUUGGUUCCCUAAGGACAAAUAUUAAUGUACUGAUAUAUUUAUAUAUUAAAAUGACAAAAACUUCUAAAAUAUUAAUUACACUGUGUCUGUUAAGUUUUAUUCUCUGGAGCAACUAAUCUUGGAGAAAUUAAGGUUUGUACAUCUGUGGUUAAACAGCGUUAUUUUAAAGUAUUGUCCUACAUUACAGAGUCUAGAUUUUUCUUUAAAAGCUAACCUUGGUUAAUAUAAAAACAUCAAUAAAAGUGUGGUACAUUACUCUUCUUUACAGAUUAAAUGUAUUCAUAUCUUUCAGUUAUACAAGUCUUUAAGGUAAAAGAUUUAAAAUAACAUUUUAUCUGCCGCAGUCUGGCUGGGCACAAUCAGGAGCCACUUGUCAAAAGAAACUAACUUUAUUUUUAGAACCACACACGCCAAACAAAACAGCCUCUCAGGAAAAACCCUCAGAGCCUCAACUGCCACCACCGGCUUUCCACAAGCCUCUCUCUCCCACACAAGCUUCUCUCCACCUCCCACAAUCCUCCUGCUCUUGAGGCCGAUUGGCUGGGUCAUGUGGGCGGAGCCAAAAAAGUCCCCCAAUGAGCAUCUCCGUGGUCUGAAAGGGCAGGGAAACAGCCCAAUGAGCAUCACCGCAGAGGAGCCAAUCAGCUAGAUGUUGCUGGGGCCGAGGAGCCAAUCAGCUAGAUGUUGCUGGGGCCGCUGUGAGCCAAUCAUCAGCCAGCAGCUGGAAGUUUGCUGGCAGCUGGAAGUUUGCUGGGGCCCCUUUGGCUGUGGCUCUCAACAUUAUCAAGCUGGUGUUCUCC